rnacentral:sRNA from 1 species
GCCGGGCACGGUGACGCACGCCUGUAAUGCCAGCGGCUCAGGAGGCUGAGGCAGGAAGAUCGCGAGUUCAGAGCCAGCCUCACCAAAAGUGAGGCCCUGUCUCUA